rnacentral:rRNA from 1 species
AGUGAACGCUGGCGGCGUGCCUAAUACAUGCAAGUCGAACGGAGUGGCGCACGGGUGAGUAAUAUAUAGCUAAUCUGCCCCUUGCUGGAGGAUACCAGUUCGAAAUGACUUCUAAUACUCCAUAGCAAGGGAUGAGACUAUAUUGUAUCAGCUAGUCGGUGGGGUAACGGCCUACCGAGGCUAUGACGCGUAACUUGUCUGAGAGGAUGAUCAGUCACAUUGGAACGGAGGCACGGUCCAAAAUCCUACGGGAGGCAGCAGUAGGGAAUAUUGCGCAAUGGGGGAAACUCUGACGCAGCAACGCCGCGUGGAGGAUGACAAUUGUCGGAGCGUAAACUCCUUUUGUUAGGGAAGCGGUACCUAACGAAUAAGCACCGGCUAACUCCGUGCCAGCAGCCGCGGUAAUUC